AUAGGCAUACAGCACUGGUGGCCAUACACUAGCAGACACCCUCUCUCUCCGGACGAGUCCUUCAGUCUCACAAGCAGCGCGUAACAGUGGCAAGGAGACGCCACGGACACUCUCCAUCGCCUUUAUCCUGUGUGUAUGCUCGUUCCGAUCGCCUGUCUUUUUCGUUGCUCUCGUCACCACUCUCCCCUUCCUGUUUUUUUUUCUUUUGAGGGUGGGAGGGGGAGCAUUCUUUAUACGGCGGUGUUUGCCGUCGCGCACGAGUGUCUUUGUUUCACCGCACGUGCCAUCACGAUGCGCGCCUUCACGCAGCUACUCUGGUUGAUUUGGUUUCUCCGCAGCACGUCAACUGCGCACCCUGAAGUGGUGGCGAGCGCGCACAGCCGCUCAAUCUUUUUUUUUUUGGGCCCUUUGCGUUACUUGUUGUUUUUCUAUAGCGGUGGCUCCAUCACUGUGUCUCUGCCGGAUGCCUGGCACUCGUAUGGGAACUGGUGGAUGUCGUCGCUGAAGUCCAUCAUCCCAGAGAAGCUGCAUUUCGCGCAUGCUACGGGUAUGUCGAGACCUCGCCAGCGUCUUUUAUGACGCGUGUGGAGUGGCACCGCGCCCAUGACGUCGUCAAGCAAUUACUGGCCCGCCUCACGGUGGUGAGCAGAGCACUCGAGUGUCGCACCGGCACUUUGGCCGCCAUUUCGGUGACCUCGAGCAUGCCACUACCGAAUCUGUCGUACUGCUCCAGCGGUCGUGGGCAUGGUGCAUCACGCCCGAACAAGGCGCCCGGAGGCCGGGGGGCGGGGGAGCGCGCGUGAUGAGCGGCAAAGGCGCAGAAGUAUGCACACCGAUCAGCCCCACAGCGCAUGCGUGCGAAGUGUGCGGCGUCUCCUGCAUCCGAUCGGGGUGGGCUGAUGCGGCGCAGGUGCCGGAAGCGUCCGCGGAGCACCCCGAGCUACACCAUCGAGCUCUCCAGACUCCAUUGUACAGAGUCUCGACACUAUAUUAUGCAAUGCCGCGGCCUGAGGCGACUGAGGGUAAAGCAUGGCAUACGCAGGCAGGAUGUGCACGGCCUCAAAAGGCCCUGGCCGCUGCCCGCCCUGGUGCGUCUGGUGGCGGUGGCGCGGCGCGUAUCUGAGGAAGGGUGAGAAGUGCCCGUUACACGCGUGGCCCCGCUCGGCCGCUGGACUUUUUGUCCCGGGUGUCGAUGUCGCAGCCGUAUGCCUGCGAAGGAAGGUGAUCUGCGGUGGCGUUUGCGUACACUUUUUCUGGCUUGUGCGUGGUGGAAUGGGCACACGCUGGGAGCACGAAAGAAACGUCGCUGUAGCACAAGUCAGAGGCUGGCAUGCAACGGGAAAAUAAAAGCGAAACGCUCAAAGUCCGGAAUACCUUCUUUUCGCCCAUGUGCCACUGCGUCGAUGCUGUUGUUCAGUGCAUCUUGUUUCUCUCUCUCUCCUUCUCUCGCCUGUUGUAGUGUCGAGCUCGUGGUGGUUAUCCUGUGCUCGCAGACCUGAUGGCGCGAUCGGAAGAAGCGCAGCGCGUUUUGCUUGCCUGUGGCGGAGCAUCAUGCUUUG
rnacentral:misc_RNA from 1 species